CACACGCACCAGCUCAUGGGAGACGGGCAAUCAGAAGCCCAGUUGCUCGAACACUAACCCUCUCUCACAGGGUCAAGGAGACCAGCCUUGCUGUGCAUCUGUGACAAA